rnacentral:rRNA from 1 species
UACGGGGGGAGCAAGCGUUGUUCGGAUUUACUGGGCGUAAAGGGCGUGUAGGCGGUUUGUUAAGUCUGGCGUGAAAGCUCUCGGCUAAACCGGGAGAGGUCGUUGGAUACUGGCAAACUUGAGGACGGUAGAGGCGUGUGGAAUUCCGGGUGUAGUGGUGAAAUGCGUAGAGAUCCGGAGGAACACCAGUGGCGAAGGCGACACGCUGGGCCGUACCUGACGCUAAAGCGCGACAGCAUGGGGAGCAAACGGG